rnacentral:rRNA from 1 species
UACGAAGGGGGCUAGCGUUGUUCGGAAUUACUGGGCGUAAAGGGCGCGUAGGCGGUGUGUCAAGUCAGGGGUGAAAGCCCCCAGCUCAACUGGGGAAGUGCCUCUGAUACUGGCGGCCUCGAGCGAGGUAGGGGCGUGCGGAACUUCCGGUGGAGCGGUGAAAUGCGUAGAUAUCGGAAGGAACACCGGUGGCGAAAGCGGCGCGCUGGACCUCUUCUGACGCUGAGGCGCGAAAGCCAGGGGAGCGAACGGG